UGGGGAAUCUUGCACAAUGGGGGAAACCCUGAUGCAGCGACGCCGCGUGAACGAUGAAGCCCUUCGGGGUGUAAAGUUCUUUCGACAGGAACGAUAAUGACGGUACCUGGAGAAGAAGCUGCGGCUAACUACGCGCCAGCAGCCGCGGUAAUACGUAGGCAGCGAGCGUUGUUCGGAGUUACUGGGCGUAAAGAGUGCGUAGGCGGCGAGCCAAGUUUGGUGUGAAAUCUCCCGGCUUAACCGGGAGGGUGCGCCGAAAACUGGUUGGCUGGAGUAUGGGAGAGGAAAGCGGAAUGCCCGGUGUAGCGGUGAAAUGCGUAGAUAUCAGGAGGAACACCUGCGGUGUAGACAGCUUUCUGGACCAAAACUGACGCUGAGGCACGAAAGCGUGGGUAGCAAACA
rnacentral:rRNA from 1 species